AUUGAACGCUGGCGGUAUGCUUAACACAUGCAAGUCGAACGGCAGCAUGGUAUGUAGCAAUACAUACUGAUGGCGAGUGGCGGACGGGUGAGUAACACGUAGGAAUCUACCCUAAAGCGGGGGAUAACCCGAGGAAACUCGGGCUAAUACCGCAUAAUUUCUGAGGAAAAAAGCUGGGUUUACCUGGCACUUUAGGAGGAGCCUGCGUCUGAUUAGCUAGUUGGUGGGGUAAAGGCCUACCAAGGCGACGAUCAGUAGGUGGUCUGAGAGGAUGAUCACACACACUGGGACUGAGACACGGCCCAGACUCCUACGGGAGGCAGCAGUGGGGAAUAUUGGACAAUGGGCGCAAGCCUGAUCCAGCCAUACCGCGUGGGUGAAGAAGGCCUUCGGGUUGUAAAGCCCUUUUGUUGGGAAAGAAAUCCAGCCGGCUAAUACCUGGUUGGGAUGACGGUACCCAAAGAAUAAGCACCGGCUAACUUCGUGCCAGCCGCCGCCGUAACAC
rnacentral:rRNA from 1 species